UAGGGAAUAUUGGACAAUGGGCGAAAGCCUGAUCCAGCCAUGCCGCGUGAGUGAUGAAGGCCUUCGGGUCGUAAAACUCUUUUCUGAGAGAAGAACAUCCGGGGAAGGAAAUGUCCCCGGCUUGACGGUAUCUCAGGAAUAAGCAACGGCUAACUCCGUGCCAGCAGCCGCGGUAAUACGGAGGUUGCAAGCGUUGUUCGGAAUGACUGGGCGUAAAGGGAGCGCAGGCGGUUUGGCAAGUCUAAAGUGAAAGCCCGGGGCUUAACCUCGGAAGGGCUGUGGAUACUGCUGAACUUGAGUUCGGGAGAGGAGAGCGGAAUUCCAGGUGUAGCGGUGAAAUGCGUAGAUAUCUGGAGGAACACCGGUGGCGAAGGCGGCUCUCUGGCGCGAUACUGACGCUGAGGCGCGAAAGCAUGGGGAGCGAACG
rnacentral:rRNA from 1 species